CGGUGGUCACAGCGACAGGGAAACGCCCGGCACCCAUCCCGAACCCGGAAGCUAAGCCUGACAGCGCCGAUGGUACUGCACCCGCCAGGGUGCGGGA
rnacentral:rRNA from 1 species